UACGUAGGGGGCAAGCGUUGUCCGGAUUUAUUGGGCGUAAAGCGCUCGCAGGUGGUUCGUCGCGUCGUGCGUGAAAGACCCCGGCUCAACUGGGGAGUGUUGUGCGAUACGGGCGAACUGGAGGCCAGUAGGGGGAUGCGGAAUUCCGGGUGUAGUGGUGGAAUGCGUAGAGAUCCGGAGGAACACCAGCGGCGAAGGCGGCAUCCUGGACUGGUCCUGACACUCAUGAGCGAAAGCGUGGGGAGCGAUCCGG
rnacentral:rRNA from 1 species